GUUAGGGUGGCAGAGCCGGGUAUAUGUAAAAGGCCUAAAACCUUUCAAACAGAAGUUCAAAUCUUCUUCCUAACC
rnacentral:tRNA from 1 species